GUUGAGAAUCCUUUGCAGGCAUUGACUGUUUGAAGUCUGGAGCGCAUGGGCAUCACGAAAAGCUGGGUUUCCUCCUUUGUGAUGCUUUGUCAGACCAUUACUGCAGCUGCCCUUAGCUGUUCUUUCUUUGUCUUCAGCAAGUGAAAUGCAUGCUCGAUCAAGUUGAGAUCAGGUGAUUGACUAGGCCAUUGCAGAAUAUUCCACUUCUGUGCCGUAAAAAACUCCUGGUUUUUGUGUCAUUGUCCAUCUGUAUAGUGAAGCACCGUCCAUUCAACUUUGCUGAAUUUGGCUAAAUCUGAGCAGACAAUAUA